rnacentral:rRNA from 1 species
GACGAACGCUGGCGGCGUGCUUAACACAUGCAAGUCGAACGGAAAGGCCCUGCUUUUGUGGGGUGCUCGAGUGGCGAACGGGUGAGUAACACGUGAGUAACCUGCCCUUGACUUUGGGAUAACUUCAGGAAACUGGGGCUAAUACCGGAUAGGAGCUCCUGCUGCAUGGUGGGGGUUGGAAAGUUUCGGCGGUUGGGGAUGGACUCGCGGCUUAUCAGCUUGUUGGUGGGGUAGUGGCUUACCAAGGCUUUGACGGGUAGCCGGCCUGGGAGGGUGACCGGCCACAUUGGGACUGAGAUACGGACCAGACUCCUACGGGAGGCAGCAGUGGGGAAUAUUGCACAGUGGGCGGGAGCCUGAUGCAGCAACGCCGCGUGCGGGAUGACGGCCUUCGGGUUGUAAACCGCUUUCGCCUGUGACGAAGCGUGAGUGACGGUAAUGGGUAAAGAAGCACCGGCUAACUACGUG